rnacentral:lncRNA from 1 species
GAGCAGUCAACAACAGUCUGCAUGGACAGGAUGUUGUGGUUGUACUGGUAACGUGCGCUUCACACCAACAGGCGAGAAUGGAGACACCAUGACGUAAAGACAUGGCUGACCAAGACCAGACGGAGAGCACACAUUACACCUGUUUUAAGGUCUCUGCACCGGCUGACUCCUAGGACCAAGAGAUAUGAAGAGGCAGCCUUUAGUUAUUAUGUCCCCAGCAUCUGGAAUAGCAUGCCAAAGAACCUGAGGGGGGUCGAAACUGUGGACAUAUAUAAAAAAGAUAUUAAAGCAUAUUUUUAGCCUUGCUUUUCCUUUGGCUGCUUUUUAGUUGUUCAGUUUGUCAUUCUUUAGUUUUUUUUAUCUUGCGUUUGUUGUGUAGUAAAUACUUCAGCUUUUAUUUUCAUUGGUUUUUUUGUUUUGUUU